rnacentral:rRNA from 1 species
CGGGUAGAGUAACACGUAAACAACCUGCCUUCAGGAUGGGGACAACAGACGGAAACGACUGCUAAUACCGAAUAAGUUCCAAGAGCCGCAUGGCCCAUGGAAGAAAAGGUGGCCUCUACCUGUAAGCUAUCGCCUGAAGAGGGGUUUGCGUCUGAUUAGCUGGUUGGAGGGGUAACGGCCCACCAAGGCGACGAUCAGUAGCCGGUCUGAGAGGAUGAACGGCCACACUGGAACUGAGACACGGUCCAAACUCCUACGGGAGGCAGCAUG